ACGUGACAUCAGCACGGACAACGCCUUCUUCUCGACUGAAAAUGCAAAUGUCGAGCCUGCGUGGUGUACUUGAGUCCGUCCGACUUGUGUCGUGCUUCGUGUGGAUCGCAGAUCACAUCUGCAGCAUCGGCAAGAUGAACUCACUCUGUCUUCUGACGCUCUCAGUCCUUCUGGCCUCCUGUGCCGGUCAGAGUAUGGAGUCCAUUCCUUCUAGUACGGUCGUGAAACAAGCGGGUCAGACCCUCAGUCUUUCUUGCAAAGGCUCUGGGUUCACGUUUUCCUGCUGCACUAUGCACUGGAUCCGGAAAGCUCCCGGAAAAGGCCUUGAAUGGAUCGGAGAGGGCUAUUCAUCGUCCAGUCGCAACAAAUAUGCCAGCAGCUUGACAGGACGACUUACCAUUAGCAGAGAUGAUGCCAACAGCAUGGUUCAUCUGACACUAUCAAACCUACAGCCCGAAGAUUCUGCCGUCUAUUACUGUGCAAAAUACCACACAAGUGGAACCACACAGCAGGGCGCUCCAAAAACAAGGAAGUUGGGGGAGGGCUGCAAGUCGUGAGGUACACACAACAAGAAGUAAACAUGAAGAAUGGUAAAUCCAAAUCUUCACCAUAUUGUUGAUCAGCCUAUUUCUCCUUUACAAGGGGAUGAACUGAAAAUGGGGAAAGUUAUUUUUUUUUCACAAAAAUUCACAUUUUAAGUUGAACAGGAACGCUACAAUAUUAGAUGGAUAAUAAAUAAUACAAUAAAAAUUCACACUCAUUGUCACAUUGGACAAUAUGUCAAUAUUAUUUGAUUUAUAACAGUUACAAGAUUAUUAUUUUUAUAUUUUUCCAUUCACAUCAGGAUGAAAAUCCAGUUUUGUCACUCACAUACAAAAAUUAUUAUGACACUUCAACAACUUUGUAGUCCACAUUAAAUUGUUUCUUGAAAUAACAAUAAAAUAACCAUCAAAAUCAUUUUUACGAUAAACAUUUGAUCAAUGUGCUUUUAAAAGUGCUUGUUUUGCAGUUUUGACAAUUUGUAUAAACUCUUUUAUUUUUUUCAUAUUUCCAUCACAACACCAUUUCCCGUAAUUUUAUUUUAUAAUGCACAUCCACUCUUUUUUUCGGUCAUGUCAUUUUUAUGAGACGUCGACCAUACUUUGUAUUAGACAUGGGAAUUCUUGAAAUAAGAAAAGAAAAACUCAAUGGGAUUUUCAAAAUUCAAUUUCUUUCAGUCAUAUAUGAAGAAAAGCUAACUACAUAUUCUUCUCCAAUUAUGCAAUGUGUUGGUUUUGGUCAGUGGGUCAAUGAGAAAAAUAGGUUAAUAUCUUCAAUUGCACACCUGAGGUUGAGGUUGACCUGAAAAAUAAACAAACAAAAAUACAAAAAAACCCCAAAACUUUUGAUACAGCAUGUUACUGUUUCCUCCUAUGUUCACGUUGUGCUGAGUUUCUGAGCAUCCCGCCGGUGCUUUAACAUUCCAUUUCCCUCUAUGCAAAGCAGACUUCCCACCCAUGAGCUAUAAAACCCCCCGGUAAGUGCAGUACCCAUGAGAACGCCUUCAGUGUUCUUGCCUCAAACCAAUACUAAGAUGACAGACGCAAUGCUAAGGUUCUUGACGGUCGCUCUUUGCGCUUUGACGGCCGCUGAAGGCUGGAGCAUCGAACAGUCUGAAGCAGUGUCCAAAAGAGCUGGAGAAUCGCACACACUGACAUGCAAAACAGAUGGAUUAGAUUUUUCUAG